UUUGGCAGCACAUAUACUUAAAAAAAAAAAAUUGGAAUGAUACAGAGAAGAUUAGCAUGGCCCCUAUGCUAGGAUGACAUGCAAAUUAGUGAAGUGUUCCAUAUUAAA